AUUUUGCCAGUUUUCUGAUGAAGCAGACCAGGUCAGGUCAAGGAUUACUCGGACUACUUGGAGCACACGAAAAGGCAGACACGUGAAGCUGAUAAUUAGUUGGAGUGUCGACAAAAUGAUGUUUCACCCAUAACAGAACAAAAGAACAAGGACCUGAAAAUUACACCAUCAAACCACUAAACUCUGAAUGGUAGAAAGUUGUUAGCCAAUGAGAAGAUGCCACAGACUAGGCAAGCAAGCCUAAACCAACGGGGGAGACAGAGCACAGCUUGAAGAGAUAAGAUUCAGUAUAAGAAUGGAGAAUUUCGGGCGUGGAGGCAGCAAAAACUGUGGCGAACAACCAUCACGGAAGUGGAAGAACCUAUGUCAGCAACGUAUAGACGCAAGAGAGAGAGAAUGGAAUGCCUGGCCAGCAUCAACUCUCUUUUUCAGGUCCAGCCUAAAAUGAAGGGGAUAAUGCAUUUUGUUGCUAUCGGACUGACCAUCAUCAGAACUGCGGUUGAGCCUGCCUUGGAGCUGUCAAAAUGAAUGAACAUGCCUGAAGCAGUGUCUACGGUGGUGGGAUAUCCCAAGACCAGGAACAACUUUGCUCUGCAGAAUAAGACAGUCCAAACCAACAAAGGGAAAAGAGAGGACUUAAAUUUGUAUUAUAUGGGAAUGAAUGGGUUAACGUGCGCAGGAAAAACUUUGGGUAUACUGGAGGGUGCGGGAGUACAGUUUACAUGCAACAAAGUUCUAGAGGUUGACUGGGGUAGCGACUCAUAUCGGAGGUAUUUUGAUUGGGGAGGAUAUAGCAGGCGUUUUAGAAAGAUUGGCUGGAUCAUCAUCAAUUGUCAGUACUUAUGAAAAUUGUUCAAUGUCCAUUCUGUCUGUUAACAGCCAGUCCUUUUUACAAUACGCCCUUGUAGGACAAACAUAUUACAUAGCCACAGCGGCAAUGAACUAUAACGAAGGAUGGAAACAGUGCCUUCUGGAAAGGCACAAUGUGACCUUAGACCUGGUUAUUGGUAGACAAGUUCUGCCUAAGCCAAUAAUGAGGAUGGUAAUAAAUAAAAACUCAGUCCAACACACCGAUAUAGACCAAGAUCUGUGGAAAUACGUUCCUACCGAACUACCACCUAUUCCGCACCUGACUGCAGCUUGAACGCAAAUAGCGGAGGAAGCCAAUGAGAUAAUUCUUCAAUGGACUAAACAUAAUAAAAUAAUUAGAACUCAUGCUGAUAAAACAGAGGAAUGCUACGGGACCCCGGGUUCUGGGAUAAGUUUUGGAAUUGGAAAUCUAAUGUUCAAAUACAUCCAUGGGUCAGGAUUUUGUCACAUGCUGUAGUUGUGAUCAUAUGUGCAUUAAUACUUGUCACAUUCAACAUAUAUCAGCUUAGAAGGUGGAAAAUUGAAAUUUUGCACCGAAUGAAUGUUAGUGCUUUAAUGAAACAGAAGAAACGAUUAUCAGUAUAAAGGCAUUGUGUGAAGUAUAUUUUAUAUACACUUCUCUUUUAUAUUUUUAUAUAACCAUAUGAUAUCGCGAAUGUAACAUACCCAUUGGGGGACAGACAACCUCAGGAAUGGUACGCAGACAGGGAGAAUAAUGAUUUGUAUCUUUGGAUCAAAAGGGGGGAGAUGUUGGCCAAGGUCUGCAGCCAAACUGCUGACACAUAGGCAAAAGCAACUUUUGACCUGAAGUAACCCGAUUCCAGUCACUGCCCUGAGCUGGCUGGAACCAGUUUGAAAUAACUGACUUUCUUGGAAAACAAAGGGAAUGUGAUAAGACACAAGUCCUUAUUUAGGAAAGGAGUAACGAGGUAAUGUUACCUAAGUUCUUGGGACAGAGCCAAUGAGAAGAUGCCACAGACUAGGCAAGCAAGCCUAAACCAACGGGAGAGACACAGCACAGAGAUAAGAUUCAGUAUAAGAAUGGAGAAUUUUGGGCGUGGAGGCAGCAAAAACUCUGGAGAACAACCAUCACGGAAGUGGAAGAACUUAUGUCAGCAACGUAUAGACGCAAGAGAGAGAGAAUGGAACGCCUGGCCAGCGUCAACUCUCCUUUUCGGCUAUUAGCUUUUAUAUUCUGUGACUACUCAGGGAGUCAGAGAAACCUAGUGGGUGUGCGUUUAGAUCCUAGUUUUAGGUAUAAAACUGUAUAACCUGCUGUAAACUGCAUGUCUAUAUUCA